AGCGAACGCUGGCGGCAGGCCUAACACAUGCAAGUCGAACGGCAGCACAGUAAGAGCUUGCUCUUACGGGUGGCGAGUGGCGGACGGGUGAGGAAUAUAUCGGAAUCUACUUUUUCGUGGGGGAUAACGUAGCGAAACUUACGCUAAUACCGCAUACGACCUACGGGUGAAAGCAGUGGAUCUUCGGACCUUGCGCGAUUGAAUGAGCCGAUGUCGGAUUAGCUAGUUGGCGGGGUAAAGGCCCACCAAGGCGAGGAUCCGUAGCCGGUCUGAGAGGAUGAUCAGCCACACUGGAACUGAGACACGGUCCAGACUCCUACGGGAGGCAGCAGUGGGGAAUAUUGGACAAUGGGCGCAAGCCUGAUCCAGCCAUACCGCGUGGGUGAAGAAGGCCUUCGGGUUGUAAAGCCCUUUUGUUGGGAAAGAAAAGCAGCAGGUUGAUACCCCGCUGUUCUGACGGUACCCAAAGAAUAAGCACCGGCUAACUUCGUG
rnacentral:rRNA from 1 species